UACGGAGGGGGCAAGCGCUGUUCGGAAUUACUGGGCGUAAAGGGCGCGUAGGCGGCCAUGCGUGUCUCCCGUGAAAUCCCUCGGCUCAACCGAGGACGUGCGGAAGAAACUGCAAGGCUCGAGUCCGGAAGAGGGGGGCGGAAUUCCCAGUGUAGCGGUGAAAUGCGUAGAUAUUGGGAGGAACACCAGUGGCGAAGGCGGUCCCCUGGGCCGGAACUGACGCUGAGGCGCGAAAGCGUGGGUAGCAAACGGG
rnacentral:rRNA from 1 species